GGAGCAGCGAUGGGGGCGUGGCUUCCAGCCUACUACAGUGACUUGUAUCUAGCAAGUAUUCAAUGAGUGCUGCUGAAUCAUAUUUUGCAUGGAAAUUGUAGAAGACUGAAGAAAUCCUGGGAAUAAAGAUUUGAGUGUCAAAUGAACGAUGAGUUUUAAACUGAAGACAUAGUAAUAAAGUAUGCUCUUCCCAGGAGACUAGACUGAUUCCAAAUAUGCACUCAACAUCGGG
rnacentral:lncRNA from 1 species